rnacentral:rRNA from 1 species
UGGGGGAUAUUGCACAAUGGGGGAAACCCUGAUGCAGCGACGCCGCGUGAGUGAAGAAGUAUCUCGGUAUGUAAAGCUCUAUCAGCAGGGACGAAAAUGACGGUACCUGAGUAAGAAGCNCCGGCUAACUACGUGCCAGCCGCCGCGGUAAUACGUAGGGGGCAAGCGUUAUCCGGAUUUACUGGGUGUAAAGGGAGCGUAGACGGUCAUGCAAGUCUGGAGUGAAAGGCGGGGGCCCAACCCCCGGACUGCUCUGGAAACUGUAAGACUAGAGUACAGGAGGGGUAAGCGGAAUUCCUAGUGUAGCGGUGAAAUGCGUAGAUAUUAGGAGGAACACCAGUGGCGAAGGCGGCUUACUGGACUGAAACUGACGUUGAGGCUCGAAAGCGUGGGGAGCAAACAGG